GACGAACGCUGGCGGCGUGCUUAACACAUGCAAGUCGAACGGAAAGGCCUUUUCGGAGGUACUCGAGUGGCGAACGGGUGAGUAACACGUGGGUGAUCUGCCCUGCACUCUGGGAUAAGCCUGGGAAACUGGGUCUAAAACCGGAUAGGACCGCACUUUAGUGUGUGUGGUGGAAAGUUUUUUCGGUGUAGGAUGAGCCCGCGGCCUAUCAGCUUGUUGGUGGGGUAAUGGCCUACCAAGGCGGCGACGGGUAGCCGGACUGAGAGGUUGGUCGGCCACAUUGGGACUGAGAUACGGCCCAGACUCCUACGGGAGGCAGCAGUGGGGAAUAUUGCACAAUGGGCGCAAGCCUGAUGCAGCGACGCCGCGUGGGGGAUGACGGCCUUCGGGUUGUAAACUCCUUUCGCCAGGGACGAAGCGUUUUGUGACGGUACCUGGAGAAGAAGCACCGGCUAACUACGUG
rnacentral:rRNA from 1 species